GAUGAAGAACGUAGCGAAAUGCGAUAAGUAGUGUGAAUUGCAGACUUUAGUGAAUCAUCGAAUCUUUGAACGCACAUUGCGCCCCUUGGUAUUCCAUUGGGCAUGCCUGUUCGAGCGUCAUUUAAACCUUCAAGCUUUGCUUGGUGUUGGGCGUCUUGUCUCUAGCUUUGCUGGAGACUCGCCUUAAAGUAAUUGGCAGCCGGCCUACUGGUUUCGGAGCGCAGCACAAGUCGCACUCUCUAUCAGCAAAGGUCUAGCAUCCAUUAAGCCUUUUUUUCAACUUUUGACCUCGGAUCAGGUAGGGAUACCCGCUGAACUUAAGCAUAUCAAUAAGCGGAGGA
rnacentral:misc_RNA from 1 species